rfam:Camelus ferus unplaced genomic scaffold scaffold60782, whole genome shotgun sequence.
GUGGGGAGGGUAUAGUGGUAGAGUGUGUGCUUAGCAUGCAUAAGGUCCUGGGUUCAAUCCCCAGUACCUGCA